UUGAGACUCUUGAAUGUUUUCAAAAGAAGUAGGGAAAUUCACCUUUAUUAGGUUCAAUCCUUAUUUUCUUGCCUCUCUGGUCUAAGCUUCAAUAUGUUACUUGGGGCUAUUGCUUAGCAACUGAUAUUACUAGAUCUCUUUUCCCUUCAAUCUGCAAACACUUAUUUUUGUUCAUCCCACUGUUUGCAAAACUGAUUUUUGUUAUAAUUCAUCCGAAAUUGGUGUCUGAUUUCUUAAAAUUUAAGAUGGGACGUUUUUGAAGAUCUUUGUAUUAAAAUUAAAGUAAUAUAUUAAACCAAUCAUGUCAACCCACCUGUUUUCACUUCUCAUCUAUUAUUCAUCAAAUUUUGGUUAACACGUUAUCUAUUCUGUUGGUUUAGAGGAUAGGUAUUUCAGUAUAGAUUGUACUUAACUUUUUUCCAUUGCAUCUGUUUCUCAAAUAUCAUGGACAGUUCCAAACAAAGGUAAUGGCCUUGAUCUGGAGAAAUAUUCAUGGACACAGACCCUACAAGAGGUUAAUGUACUUGUUCCAGUUCCUUCUGGUACUAAAUCAAGGUUUGUUGUAUGUGACAUAAAGAAAAAACAUCUGAAAGUUGGUCUAAAGGGUCAGCCUCCAAUAAUUGAGGGAGAGCUUUACAAGCCUAUCAAGGUGGACGAUUGCUAUUGAGCAUAGCAGAUAGUGCUAGUGACAACGACUGCUGA